rnacentral:snoRNA from 1 species
UUCAAUGAUGAAUUAAUCCAAAUAAUUGAGGUAUGGUUGAUCACAAGACCCUGUUUAUUCAGGGAGAACCACUUGGGGUUGCCAUAUCUUUCAUGAAAUUACUGGAUUUUUCUGAGAU